CGGCCGCGCUCAGGGGCCCUGGCCGCCUCCUGCGCGGCGAGAGAUGCGGACGCAGACCGCCCGCGGCGGGACCCCCGGGCCGUGUCCAGGCCGCGCAGGCGCGCAGAGCCCGGCGCCCGCGCCCGCUCGGCAGCCUCCCCGGGCCCCGCGUGCAGGCGGGGCGCCCCGAGAGCCCCUCCCCACCGCCAGGGAGCCUGGCCGGCGGGUCCGGGGGGCCCCCCGGCUGGGGCUCAGGGACUGCGGCGGGGGGACCGCGUCGCCGAGGGCGGCUCCCCUGCGGCGGCUUCCUGGAGGUCCGGCCGCCCGUGAGCAGCGCCCGGGGGAGUGGGCCGUGCAGACGCCCCCGCCCGGGUGAACUCAGAGUCGACCCCCAGCUCGGCACGUCUCUGUGGCGACUCCUGCUGGUGAAGCUUGUUCAUAACAGCUUUAUUGAGCUGCAACACACGCUGUAAAAUUGACCCUUUUAAGGUGUAGCACUCUGGGUUUUAGUAUGUUCACGAGGCUGUGCAACCCUCACCCCUGUCUGAUCUCGGAUCACUUUCAUCACCCAAAGAAACCCGCACCCGUGAGCAGUCACCCCGCUCUGUCUCUGGAGCCCCUGGCAACCCCUAACCUCCCUUCUGUCUGUGGACCUGCCUGUCUUGCACAUUUCGUACAAACGGAAUCACACACUGUGUCGCCUUUCUUGUCUUCAAGCUCAUCCAUGUUGCAGGCUGCGUCAGAACUUUGUUCCCUCUCAGGCUGAAGAAUAUUCCGCGAAUACUCUGGGUGGACCCCUCUUGUUUGCCCGUUUGUCUGCUGGUGCACAGUGGGUUGUGUCCAGUUUCGGUGGCGCCGCUGCUCUUUGAGAGGCUAGGGAUCGCGUCCUGCGUUGGACGUCCGCCUGGGAAGGAUGCUGACGGGGCGCCUCCCCCACCGGCCACGCUCGCUCGCGGUGGGCCCAGCACUGUUGAUCCUGUGCUUGUACCACUCAGGGUUACAGAAUAAAUGCCACAUGAAAACCAGUUUGAUCUGCCAUGGAAAAACGUGAGGCAUUUGUACAAGCAGUGUCUAAGGAGCUGAUUGGAGAGUUCUUGCAAUUCAUUCAACUUGAUAAAGAUGCUUCUGACCCUUUCAGCCUAAAUGAAUUGCUGGAUGAAUUAUCAAGGAAACAGAAAGAAGAGCUGUGGCAAAGGCUGAAGACUUUAUUAACAGAGGUGCUGCUGGAGACCCCGGUGGACGGGUGGCAGCCAGUGGAAGUCCUCGGUGGAUCCAGGAUGGAGACAGAGCAGGGCUCAAAAAUGGAAAAAAACAGAGAAAUAAUUCAUGCAGUUACAUCUGUAAUUCUUGCUUCUGUGUCUGUAAUAAAUGAAAGUGAGAAUUAUGAAGCCUUACUGGAGUGUGCUGUUAUAUUAAAUGGUGUUUUGUACGCGCUGCCUGAGUCUGACCGAGAGCUGCGGGUGUCCAUCCAGGAUCUGUGUGUGACGUGGUGGGAGAGGGGCCUGCCUGCCAAGGAGGACAUGGGCAAGACUGCCUUCGCCAUGCUGCUGAGGAAGAGUCUCAAGACGAAAACAGGCACAGACGUCUGCCGGCUGUGGCGCGUCCAUCAGGCUCUGUACUGCUUUGAUUACGAAUUGGAGGAAAGCAGGGAAAUCAAAGACAUGCUGCUUGAGUGCUUCAUAAAUGUUAAUUAUAUCAGAAAAGAAGAGGGAAGAAGAUUUCUUAGUUCCCUCUUCAGUUGGAAUGUAAAUUUCAUUAAAAUGAUCCAUGGGACCAUUAAAAACCAGUUACAGGGAUUACAGAAAUCUUUGAUGGUACACAUUGCAGAAAUUUAUUUCAGAGCUUGGAAAAAGGCUUCAGGGACAAUAUUAGAGGCCAUCGAAAGCGGCUGCAUCCAGGACUUCAUGUACCACGGGGUCCACCUUCCUCGGAGGUCUCCAGUGCACCCCCGGGUGCGCCAGGUGCUGAGUUAUUUCCAUCGUCAAAAGGAGGUUCGGCAGGGCGUGGAGGAGAUGCUUCACAGACUGUAUAAGCCCAUCUUGUGGAGAGGAUUAAAGGCCAGAAACUCAGAAGUCCGAUCCAAUGCUGCACUGCUGUUCGUUGAAGCAUUUCCUAUUAGGGAUCCGAACGUUAACGCCAUCGAGAUGGACAGCGAAAUUCAGAAGCAGUUUGAAGAACUCUACAGCCUUUUAGAAGAUCCUUAUCCGAUGGUCCGUUCCACAGGGAUCCUUGGUGUUUGUAAAAUAACUUCCAAAUACUGGGAGAUGCUGCCUCCGACCAUCCUCAUCGACCUUCUCAAGAAAGUAACUGAGGAACUGGCGUUUGAUGUGAGCUCUGCUGACGUGCGCUGUUCUGUCUUUAAGUGUCUGCCGAUAAUUUUGGAUAAUAAAUUAAGCCACCCAUUACUAGAACAACUUCUGCCAGCGUUAAAAUACUGUCUCCAUGACAAUUCGGAGAAAGUGAGAGUGGCUUUUGUUGAUAUGCUGCUGAAAGUGAAGGCUGUGAGGGCUGCUAAGUUUUGGAAAAUAUGCCCCAUGGAGCACAUCCUGGUCCGUCUGGAGUCGGACUCCCUGCCCGUCACUCGGCGCCUGGUGGGCCUGGUCUUCAGCUCCUUCCUGCCCGUGAACCAGCCCGAGGAGGUGUGGUGCGAGCGCUGCGUGGCGCUGCUGCAGAUGAACCACGCGGCCGCGCGCAGGUUCUACCAGCACGCGCACGAGCACACGGCCUGCGCCAACAUAGCAAAGCUGAUGCACGUGAUCCGACACUGCUUGAGCGCCUGCAUCCGGAGGGCCCUGCGCGCCUGCGGGGAGGACGCGGAGCCGCGCGGGCAGGAGACCGGGAGCACUCUGGACCAAACACUGUCUGUAAGUGAUGCUGCGUCCAUGGCGGGUUUGUUGGAGAUCGUUGUGAUUCUGUGGAGAAGCAUUCACAGGAGCAUGGAGAAUAACAAAGAGGCCAGAGUGUACACCGUUAGCAAGUUCGCCUCUGUGCUGCCGGAGUACAUGACAGUGUUUAAGGACGAUCGCUGCAAGACCCCUCUCUCCGUCUUGGCCUCCCUGAUGCCGGCCUCGGCCGUGCCCACCUUCAGCUGUGGUGUGAUUUCCACACUAAGAAACCAGGAGGAAGGAACAGCCGACAGGAGCUAUUGUAUUUUGUUGGACUGUCUCUGCUCCUGGGGGCAGGUGGGACGCAUCCUGGAGCUCGUGUGUGACUGGCUGCCGGAGGAGCAGCCUCAGAGCAAGGGUAACUCUGCAUCUAAGCGGAAGGUGCGGGUCCAGGACCCACGUCCAGUCAAACCCGGGCUGGCGCUGGUCUACCUGGAGUACCUGCUGACCCACCCGAAGAAUCGUGAGUGCCUGCUCUCCACGCCCCAGAAGAAGCUGAACUGUCUUUUGAAAGCACUUGAAACGUCCAAGGUGGAUCUGGAGUCGAUUUUGCAGUCGCCAGGUGGGAGCCCUCACCCCCUGAGUGAAGGCCUUGCCCUGCGAGCCUUCAGCCUCCACUGCCGGCUGAGUGUCCAUCUUCAGCACAAGUUCUGCUCAGAAGGCAAAGUUUACCUGUCCACUUUGGAAGACACUGGGGUUUGGUUGGAAAGCAAAGUUUUAUCUUUCAUCCAAGAUCAAGAAGAAGAAUAUCUGAAGCUUCACAGGGUCGUUUAUCAACAGAUUAUCCAGACCUACCUGACUGUGUGUAAGGACGUCAUCAUGGUCGGCCUUGGUGACUGUAAGUUUCAGACACAGCUGCUACAGCGGAGCCUUGCAGUCAUGCAAACAGUGAAGGGAUUUUUUUAUGUUUCACUACUUCUCGGCAUUCUGAAAGAGGUAACGGGAAGCUGCUUGGUGCAGAAGGCAGAUUCAGAGGAAGAAGUCGCAGCGCUGUUUGAUGUGGUCCAGAAAGUGUUUCAACAAAUGUUGGAGUGUAUGGCACGGGGCUUCAGGAAGCAGCCAGAAGAAGGCUUGCAGUGUUGGCGGGUUCAGAUCAGCAGGCCAGCGGCCCAGGAGCUCCUCAGCCCAGCAGGACAGAAGCAGAGAAUGGAUGCAGUAGCUUCUCCUUCAUUCUGUUCAGACCCCUCUUCACGAGUUCAUCAGCGCCGUGCAGUCCCGGCACGUGGACACGCCCGUCCACCGUGGCGUGCUCUCCACGCUCAUCGCAGUGUCCGUGGUCGAGAUAAGCCACCGGCUCCGAAAGGUGAGGGGUGUUAUCCUGAAACUGGUGUGUUGCGUUUUGCCUGCUCAGGAGGCGGUUUCCUGCUGGCAGCACAUUUUUGUGUUUUCCCAAGUCCUUCUCUAGAGCUCAGGUCUGCUUCUCCCUCAGCGGCACCUCACUGUUCCGGGCCUGCUUUGUGGUUAGAGUCACGUGACCUUGGGGAGACACAUGCGAAGGAUGUUGUCGUUCUUGAUGAAAACCCAGCUGGUCCUUCCACCGAGAACACUUCUUUUUGCCGUGUUGUAGAGAGCCUUGCUGUACAUAUGUCCUUCUUUUCUAUUCCUGUUGAGCAUGGGGAAUGUGAGCCUCUGCUCGCAGUGUAAGCAGGUGGUUUGCUCGCCCCUGCUCUGUAAAGGUCUGGCCAAUGUCCUGGCAGUAGCCUGUUUCAUGUGAUCGGCCUGCUUGGUUCAACAGAAGCUGCUCUGUCAUGGCGUGGAACCCUGGUGGCAGCAAGCCUUAAGAUGGUCAGAUAAUGACGGAAAGAUGAAAUCUGACAGGAAACGUACAAAUGCAAAUGUAUGAUUUGUAUAAAUUUGUAUUGUAAAAUCAAAAAUAUAAAAAAAAGUUGACAAAAUGAUAAGACAUGAAUAGAAUUUAAGGCCCUUCCGAAAGCUUAAAAGGGAGGAGUGUGAUUCUGGGACCGAACACAGCACAGGAACUGGAAGUUAUUCAGGCCUGUGAGCUGCACAGCUGAUGACUGUGAGUCCACCAGUGGUCUGGGGGCCGCCGUGGCUCACCAUCUACUUUUGUAAGUAAAGUUAUGUGGGAACGUGACCGCGCCUGUUUAUUUACUUUUUUCCUGUGGCUGCUUUGCACGAUAGCAGCAGAAUUGAGUGGCUGUGGUAGACAUCAUUUUGCCCACAAAGCUGAAAAUAUUUACCGUUUUACUACUUCAUAGAAGAAGUUUGAGUUGAGAAAACCUGACCUGGACUAAUAAGAGUAACGCGUUAUUUGCGUAGUGUAGAAACACCUUGUUUACAGAAGAACAUACGUUAAAUGGUGUUUGACAGAAGGCUUGUCAAGUGACGUGUCUCUCUUCUUCUGUCGCGUUGGUCGGCACCACUGUGCACAGUGAUAGGGUAAUCGUAACUGUGGUGGGCACGACAGCCGUUAAUAACAGUCAGUAUCUUGAGCUUCUGGAAAGCCUUUCUUUCUCAAGUUCAGAAGAAAACCCAGAGACGUGUAAGAUGAGUGAUUAGCUCAGGUUCAGUCUCCAUUCAUGUCACUGACUUGACUUUUUUUUUAGGUCUCUGAUACUGAAGCGCUUGCUCCCCCAGAGGGUCUUUCAGCCCUUCCGCCGUUUUCAAGGUGUUUAAUAGGAAUAAUAAUAAAAUCUCCGAAUGUAGUCAGGUCAUUUUUAGAUGAAUUGAAGGCAUGUGUUAUUUCCGAG